rnacentral:tRNA from 2 species
GAGUAUGUAACUCAAUGGUAGAGUACUACACCGACAUUGUAGAGGUUUGAGGUUCGAAUCCUCACAUAUUCA